GCAAAAGCUACCUCGUCCAAACUUUUUUGCGCAUCCCCUGAAGCCUACAGCGUGGGCGCCGCGUCCCCACCCGUUGCGCCCGUCCUCUCCCUCCCGCGGCCAGGAGCCCUUCGCUUCCCCCCUGCGGCUCCUAGAUGCUGGACCAUAACAGACGGAGUGGCCUUCCAGGCACAGGGACGACCUCGGCCAACAGGAGUUCAGUCGCCAAUCCGUGAACCCACCCGACUUCUCAGAGUAGGCGCUUCUCAGGACAUCAGUGCUAGGCGGACCCCUGGACCCUCCUCCUCCUCGGUCAGCUCCAGCUGAGCUCUUCACCCUCAUUACGCCCGGUCCUGCCCAGCUCACCUGGACAGCCGGCUCCACUGUCCUGCUCUCCACCCCCAGCGGAACCUAUCACAGGCCUCAGGUCUGCGAUCCAUUUCCAGGUGGCCGUCGGUGUGAGGCGAGGCUGUGCGUGGCUGGCCAGGCCUGCGAGUUGAAGCCCUCCGCCCUCCUUGAUUCACUGGCCACUGCAGGGGCAUCUGCUGGCCGUGCCUGUUCCCGACUCGGUUCUGUCCAUCCUUUGGUCCCUGCCACAUUGUCUAGAUUAAGAGCUGACGGAAGGCAGACAGGAAGCCUCCUGGGCAGGCCACAGCCGCUGGGCCGCUCUCCCACUGGGCCCUGAAAGCUGCCGGCUGUGGAGGGCAAGUGCACGGCCACACUGCGUCCCAGUGACACUGUGCUC